rnacentral:rRNA from 1 species
AGCAGCCGCGGUAAUUCCAGCUCCAAUAGCGUAUAUUAAAGUUGUUGCAGUUAAAAAGCUCGUAGUUGAACUUUAGGCCUGGCUGGACGGUCCGCCCUCUGGGUGAGCACUGUCUGUGGUCGGGUCCUACCUUCUGGCGAAGCGGCAUGGCCUUAACCGGCCGUGGCGGGGAACCAGGACUUUUACUGUGAAAAAAUUAGAGUGUUCAAAGCAGGCACGCGCUUGAAUACAUUAGCAUGGAAUAAUGGAAUAGGACAAUGGUUCUAUUUGUUGGUUUCUAGGACCGUUGUAAUGAUUAAUAGGGAUAGUUGGGGGCAUUAGUAUUCAAUUGUCAGAGGUGAAAUUCUUGGAUUUAUUGAAGACUAACUACUGCGAAAGCAUUUGCCAAGGAUGUUUUCAUUAAUCAAGAACGAAAGUUAGGGAUCGAAGACGAUCAGAUACCGUGUAGUCUUAACCAUAAACCUAUACGCCGACUAGGAAUCGGGCGAUCGUUGACAAAAUGACGUCGACUCGGCACCUC